UUAAAAUAAAAUAAGAGUAAAAAAUCACAUUUAUGCAAAUUUAUUGGAAAUUAUGAAUGGAUUUUUUAAGAUUUUCACUUGAUAGAUUCAUACACCAAAGAGAACACACACACGAAGGCAUGAAUUUGUUUUUUUUAAUUUUAUAUUUUAUUUUCUGUUGUGUGUUUUACAAGAAAAUUAAAAAAACACCAUCUUCUGGAAAAAAAAUUAAAAUUUUAUGUACUAUAUGACAAAAAUACACUAAAUCCUAUAAAAGAUAUUUAAUUUUUUUUAUUAAAACGCAAUUCGAAAGCAGGAAAAACUGAAAAAAAAAAAUUCACGGAACACACAAGUGACGGACGAUGAACAAGAAGAAGCAGCAACAGUAAAAUAACAGAAACAAUAACGUCGUUCGGGGUCGCGUUUCGUUUGCUUGGUGCCUGUAUCGCACGGGUUUUACACGUCGCGGUGAAGCCAAAAUCUACAACUGUCUACAUAGUGCGCUUCGCUCUUUGUUCGUUGCUCGCCAUCGCGUUGUUUUCGCUCUCAUAUAAAACGGCAAAAAACAAAAACAACAAAACCCGAUUACUAAUCACAUGCAAAAUUUACUGUAAAUGCGAAACAGAAAAACGAAUUGUGAGAGCAACGUUUUAACACAUAUACAAGACUGUUUAUAUACAAAGAACAACAGCGGCAACAAAAUAAACUCCAUUAUUAUUGAACAUAAUAAAUUAAUUGAACAACAAAACAAAAGUAAAAAAUACAAAGCAAAAAACAUUUGAAGCCAAGGAGAAAGAACAUAGAGACUUAAUUAUCCAAAAAGAAGAGAAUCACAUUUUACUGCUUACCACCAU